rnacentral:rRNA from 1 species
AAAUGAAUAGACGGGGACCCGCACAAGCGGUGGAGCAUGUGGUUUAAUUCGACGCAACGCGAAGAACCUUACCUGGAUUUGACAUCCUCUGACAUCCAUAGAAAUAUGGCCUUUUAUGCUUGCAUAAACAGAGUGACAGGUGCUGCAUGGCUGUCGUCAGCUCGUGUCGUGAGAUGUUGGGUUAAGUCCCGCAACGAGCGCAACCCUUGUUUUUAGUUGCCAUUAUUAAGUUAGGCACUCUAAAAAUACUGCCUCGGUUAACGGGGAGGAAGGUGGGGAUGACGUCAAGUCCUCAUGGCCUUUAUAUCCAGGGCUACACACGUGCUACAAUGGGCUGUACAAAGAGUUGCCACUUCGCGAGAAGGAGCUAAUCUCAAAAAGCAGUUCUCAGUUCGGAUUGGAGUCUGCAACCCGACUCCAUGAAGUUGGAAUCGCUAGUAAUCGUGGAUCAGCAUGCCACGGUGAAUAUGUUCCCGGGUCUUGUACACACCGCCCGU